rnacentral:rRNA from 1 species
CGUGUAGGCGGUUGGUUAAGUUCGGCGUGAAAGCGCCCGGCUAAACCGGGCGAGGUCGUCGGAGACUGACUAACUAGAGGACGGUAGAGGCGGGUGGAAUUCCGGGUGUAGUGGUGAAAUGCGUAGAGAUCCGGAGGAACACCAGUGGCGAAGGCGACCCGCUGGGCCGUACCUGACGCUAAAACGCGACAGCAUGGGGAGCGAACG